CAACAGGGAUUACCUCAGUAACGGCGAGUGAAGCGGUAACAGCUCAAAUUUGAAAGCUGGCUCUUUUAGGGUCCGCGUUGUAAUUUGUAGAAGAUGCUUCGGGUGUGGCCCCGGUCUAAGUUCCUUGGAACAGGACGUCAUAGAGGGUGAGAAUCCCGUAUGUGACUGGGUGCUUUCGCUCAUGUGAAGCUCUUUCGACGAGUCGAGUUGUUUGGGAAUGCAGCUCAAAAUGGGUGGUAAAUUUCAUCUAAAGCUAAAUAUUGGCCAGAGACCGAUAGCGCACAAGUAGAGUGAUCGAAAGAUGAAAAGCACUUUGGAAAGAGAGUUAAACAGUACGUGAAAUUGUUGAAAGGGAAGCGCUUGCAACCAGACUUGCGCGCUGAUGAUCAUCCGGGCUUCUGCCCGGUGCACUCGUCUGCGCUCAGGCCAGCAUCGGUUUCGGUGGUGGGAUAAAGGCCUUGGGAAUGUGGCUCCUCUCGGGGAGUGUUAUAGCCCUCGGUGCAAUGCCGCCAACCGGGACCGAGGACCGCGCUUCGGCUAGGAUGCUGGCGUAAUGGUUGUAAGCGACCCGUCUUGAAACACGGACCAAGGAGUCUAACAUCUAUGCGAGUGUUUGGGUGUCAAACCCAUACGCGUAAUGAAAGUGAACGGAGGUGAGAACCCUUAAGGGUGCAUCAUCGACCGAUCCUGAUGUCUUCGGAUGGAUUUGAGUAAGAGCAUAGCUGUUGGGACCCGAAAGAUGGUGAACUAUGCGUGGAUAGGGUGAAGCCAGAGGAAACUCUGGUGGAGGCUCGCAGCGGUUCUGACGUGCAAAUCGAUCGUCAAAUUUGCGUAUAGGGGCGAAAGACUAAUCGAACCAUCUAGUAGCUGGUUCCUGCC
rnacentral:rRNA from 1 species